AGUGAACGCUGGCGGUAGGCCUAACACAUGCAAGUCGAACGGAAGCACAGUAAGAGCUCGCUCUUACGGGUGGCGAGUGGCGGACGGGUGAGGAAUACAUCGGAAUCUACUUUUUCGGGGGGGAUAACGUAGGGAAACUUACGCUAAUACCGCAUACGACCUACGGGUGAAAGCAGGGGAUCUUCGGACCUUGCGCGACUGAAUGAGCCGAUGCCGGAUUAGCUAGUUGGCGGGGUAAAGGCCCACCAAGGCGACGAUCCGUAGCUGGUCUGAGAGGAUGAUCAGCCACACUGGAACUGAGACACGGUCCAGACUCCUACGGGAGGCAGCAGUGGGGAAUAUUGGACAAUGGGCGCAAGCCUGAUCCAGCCAUACCGCGUGGGUGAAGAAGGCCUUCGGGUUGUAAAGCCCUGUUGUUGGGAAAGAAAAGCAGCAGGUUAAUCCCCCGCUGUUCUGACGGUACCCAAAGAAAAAGCACCGGCUAACUUCGUG
rnacentral:rRNA from 1 species